rnacentral:lncRNA from 1 species
AGAAAAGCCAGCCUCUUCAAAGACCUACUUAGAGGAAUGCCAUGGGAUAGGGGUCUAGAAAAGAAGGGAGUCCAAGAGGGCUGGUUGGUAUUUAAGCACCACUUCCUCCAAGCCCAAGCCCAAGACUAGUGUAUCCCCACAAUGAAGAAAUCAGGCAAAGGGGGCAGGAGACCUGCAUGGAUGAGCAGGGAGCUCGUAGUAAAUCUUAAGAAAGAAAUUUAUGGGAUGUGGAAAAAAGGACAGGCCGAGUGGGAGGACUAUAGGAACAUUGUCAGGGUAUGCAGGGAUGCAACAAUGAAGACCAAGACCCACUUAGAAUUGAGUCUGGCAAAAGACAUCAAGGACAAGGUCUUCUACAUCAGCAGCAAAAAGAAGGUCCCGGUCCCUUCCAACAGCAAGCACCACAGACUACCCCAUGUUUCAGGAGCAACUGCCACUGUGGUGACAUCUGGUCCAAAGGCAAGGAGCUGCUGAAUUCUUGUCAUUUCCUUCAUGAAGUGGCUGUGACUUUUCCUUUAUCUGCAUUCAGGAAGACUCUGUCUGAUGGAGUGUAUUCAGCAAGCAAGAGGCACGGAGCCUUCAUAAUAGCCUCAAGAAAAACUGUUUUCCAGACCCAAUGCUGCUCCUUAUUCAUGUCUCUGGUUCUUCUGAAAUAAGGAAGAUGUGGAUCCAAACCCUCACCCUUGUAAAACAGACUGAGAAGUGAACCCAGACCAUCAGUAUGGCAGGAGAGUGCUCCAUGGGCUGGAGUAUUAUGAUAAAAGUGGGUAUCACCCUAAACCACUGCAGGUGGAGAAACCCGAACAUGCAAGCGUGGAUAAAAUAUGCUCCAACAUAUAACAAAAAAUCUCUGGAGAUCCAGAGGCUCAGCAGGCUCCAGAGUCCAAGCAGACAGAAAUGAAGUACCUCCAGAGAGUAUUUGUGUUCAGCAUUAGACAGCAGCUCAAACAGAGCUGGGGUGCUUGGCAGCACAGUGCUGGACUAAUUUCUGCACAUCAUGCUUCAAACUCAGAAAUGUCAUUUGAAUCUAGUCCCCAACUAUGGAUCUCUUUCAGGUCCUGCCCUGCUGCUUCCUGUGCCCGAUGAUGACAUAUUGGUGCAUUCCUUAUUCCGCACACUUUCUGUGUUCUACAGGAAUUCACUACCGGUAUCAGAAGCAAAAACAGAGGUAACCAAAAAAAGAUCUGUUACAAGAACUAUUUUAGCUUUGUAGAUGCAAACAGAUGGCAGAAAUGAAUAAAUAAGGGGAAUCUUCUGGC